AGAGUUUGAUCCUGGCUCAGGACGAACGCUGGCGGUGUGCUUAACACAUGCAAGUCGAACGGUAAGGCCCUUUCGGGGGUACACGAGUGGCGAACGGGUGAGUAACACGUGAGUAACCUGCCCUCAUCUCUGGGAUAACAGUCGGAAACGGUUGCUAAUACUGGAUAUGAGCCUGCAAGGCAUCUUGUGGGUUGGAAAGAUUUUUUUGGUUGGGGAUGGACUCGCGGCCUAUCAGCUUGUUGGUGAGGUAGUGGCUCACCAAGGCUUCGACGGGUAGCCGGCCUGAGAGGGCGACCGGCCACAUUGGGACUGAGAUACGGCCCAAACUCCUACGGGAGGCAGCAGUGGGGAAUAUUGCACAAUGGACGGAAGUCUGAUGCAGCAACGCCGCGUGCGGGAUGACGGCCUUCGGGUUGUAAACCGCUUUCAAUUGUGACGAAGCUUUUUGUGACGGUAGCAGUAGAAGAAGCACCGGCUAACUACGUGCCAGCAGCCGCGGUGAUACGUAGGGUGCGAGCGUUGUCCGGAUUUAUUGGGCGUAAAGAGCUUGUAGGUGGUUUGUCGCGUCGGGAGUGAAAACUCAGGGCUUAACUCUGAGCUUGCUUUCGAUACGGGCUGACUUGAGGGAGGUAGGGGAGAAUGGAAUUCCUGGUGGAGCGGUGGAAUGCGCAGAUAUCAGGAGGAACACCGGUGGCGAAGGCGGUUCUCUGGACCUUUCCUGACGCUGAGAAGCGAAAGCGUGGGGAGCGAACAGGCUUAGAUACCCUGGUAGUCCACGCUGUAAACGGUGGGUACUAGGUGUGGGGGACAUUCCACGUUCUCCGUGCCGUAGCUAACGCAUUAAGUACCCCGCCUGGGGAGUACGGCCGCAAGGCUAAAACUCAAAGGAAUUGACGGGGCCCCGCACAAGCGGCGGAGCAUGCGGAUUAAUUCGAUGCAACGCGAAGAACCUUACCUGGGUUUGACAUAUGCCGGAAGCGUUCAGAGAUGGGCGUGCCUUUUUGGUCGGUUUACAGGUGGUGCAUGGCUGUCGUCAGCUCGUGUCGUGAGAUGUUGGGUUAAGUCCCGCAACGAGCGCAACC
rnacentral:rRNA from 1 species